rnacentral:rRNA from 1 species
AGUAUAGGGGCUGACACCUGCCCGGUGCUGGAAGGUUAAGAGGAGAGGUUAUCCCUUCGGGGAGAAGCUUCGAAUCGAAGCCCCAGUAAACGGCGGCCGUAACUAUAACGGUCCUAAGGUAGCGAAAUUCCUUGUCGGGUAAGUUCCGACCCGCACGAAAGGUGCAACGACUUGGGCACUGUCUCAACGAGAGACCCGGUGAAAUUGUAGUACCUGUGAAGAUGCAGGUUACCCGCGACAGGACGGAAAGACCCCAUGGAGCUUUACUGCAGCUUGAUAUUGGAUUUUGGUACAGCUUGUACAGGAUAGGUAGGAGCCUUGGAAU